GAUCAUGGCUCAGGAUGAACGCUAGCUACAGGCUUAACACAUGCAAGUCGAGGGGCAGCAUGAAGUUUGCUUGCAAACUUGAUGGCGACCGGCGCACGGGUGAGUAACGCGUAUCCGACCUUCCCCCUGCCCAGGUAUAGUCCGCUGAAAGGCGGUUUAAUCCCUGGUGCCGUCCUGCGGGUGCAUGCCAUCGGGACGAAAGGAUUUCCGGCAGGGGAUGGGGAUGCGUCCGAUUAGGCAGCAGGCGGGUAACGGCCCACCUGGCCGACGAUCGGUAGGGGUUCUGAGAGGAAGGUCCCCCACACUGGAACUGAGACACGGUCCAGACUCCUACGGGGGGCAGCAGUGAGGAAUAUUGGUCAAUGGGCGGCAGCCUGAACCAGCCAAGUAGCCGUGCAGGAAUUCGGCCCUAUGGGUUGUGAACUGCUUUUAUGCGGGGAUAAAGUCCGGGGUUCGUCCCCGGUUUGCAGGUACCGCAUGAAUAAGGACCGGCUAAUUCCGUGCCAGCAGCCGC
rnacentral:rRNA from 1 species